CCCCCAUCAAAAAUGUCUUAAAAUCAUAUUUCCCAAAUACGUGAUUCUGUAUCACAACUUAUACAUUGAAAGAUACUUAGAAGAUUGGUUCCAGCCUGCCUAGACUUACUACACAUGUAUCAUGAAAGGCAGUUAAUAAAAAAAAUAUUAGGUCCAGUAGUUGGUACUGAAUUUACUGUGACAUUUUGUGAAACAUUUUCUUCAGGUUUUAAGUUUAUUUAGAAUGUAAUUUCUUAUCUCACAACCAACCCAGGUUGUGAAUGAGAUCUAUUCACUAUCACAACAUUCAUAGAAACCCUGAUAACCUUCCUUAGGUUUAAAAUGAUAUUGUUCUAUACAGUAAAUAAAAGUACCACAUGGAAUAGAGUUGGUGAGUUAAUUAGACUGUUUCAUUGAAAAUGUAAUGAUAUCACUCCCUAAAAUGGCUAUAUUGUUUCAAGCAGUGUGUAUAAUUUUACUUUCAAUAAUACCAUAAAAAUAAAAAAAGGCCAAAAUGAAAAGAAAACCAGAUGUUUAGUUUGAUAUGAAUUACGACAUUAUUUUUAACGCAGUGGCUGUAAAAUAUCAAACAAUAUGCAAAAAAUUGAUUAGGACUUUGUCAAUGAAACAUUUCCCCUCUACAGGACUGUUGGUUAUUUUUAAACAUUACAUAACACCCAUAGAAUUUAAAGAAUUCAAAAGGAAGUAAUAGACUGGAAAUCCAACUGUUUAUCUUUGACAGAAGUGACUGUGUCAUUUAGAUAUUGUACUUGUCUAUGACUAGCCUCUAUAUGAACUAAUCUAUAUGUUACCUUCCCAAUUGUUGAUCCAACAGUUCUGUUUUAUAGUUUUCAAGUUUAGUUUUCACCACCUUAAAGAUGAUAUGUGAGGACUAGGUAUGAGUGACAAGUUCUGACUGUGAUGUUUUGUUUAAACAUUAAAUACUGUAUACUUUUUUGUUGCCUAAAUUUUAUAUCAUUCUUUUAAAUGGUGUAUUAAAUUUAUUGCCUGAAAAAUAAAAAACAUCUUGAUUUUGCAAUAUUUAUCUGACAAUAUUUAAUAAGUCCAUGCCUUAACAUUUGUAGUAGAAUUACCUAUAGAUACUGUAUAUCCUUGUCUUGUAUUAAGCCCAUCCGAAUACAUAUAGUCUAGGGCUUUAAUGUUUGUUCUCCAGGCUUAUACUAUUAUAUGUAUGUGUGAUGGGAUUCAGAUUUUGUGUGAAGUUAUAAGACUUUAGACUGUGAUGUAAGAAUGCAUAAGGUAUUCAUGUUUUAUAUGUGUAUAUCAGAAAUGUCCUGAUUACUGACAAAAUGUGUUAAAAUUUCCGAUCCAAAAAAUGUACAUGUAUUAUCAUUAAACAAUGUUUAAUCAAUUCACUUCCAUCCUUGUUGCAUGGUUCAUUAAACUAAAAACAGAUAACUUCAAGAUGGAUUAUUUUUAAGAUAUUAUACAUAAAGCAGUGUUUAGGUCACAGUCCUAUGGUGACCAAUCACCUUCAUCCGGCGUCGUACAUUCGUAAACAAUUUAACAUUUUCAUCUUCUUCUCAAAUUCUCUUAAACCGAUGUCAGUGAAAUUUUGAAGAAAUCUUCCCUGGCCUAAGAUGAAGCAAAAUUUCCUUACCCCAUGGGGGCCUGAGGGGUGUGGCCAAAAGGGUCAAAUUAAGUCAGAUUUCAAAAAUCUUCUCCUCAACAUCCUGAGAUGGUAGUAUCAAAUGCUCUUCAUGGAUGGAAGCGUCUUAAAGUGGUUUACAAAAAUUGUGAAUUUCAUGGCCCUUGGGUCUCACAUUUCCAUGUUGGGAGGGGGUAAAGUUUGCUAAAGUGUAUAUAGGAAAAAUAGAUUUUUGAGUAUAAUAUCUUUAAUUUCCAUUGGAAAUAUUUCAAACUUGGGGCUGUUAGGAAGGUCCAAAUGGGGUCAAAUUGACAGAUUUCAAAAAUCUUCUUCUCAACACCCAGGUACACUGUAUGGACAAAUCAAAUCUCGUCUUGGAUGGAAGUAUCUGAAGGUGCAUUAAUUACCAAAAUGGGUCUCACAUUUCUUCCUGGUGAGGAGGUUAACUUUACUAUAAUUUUUUUUAUAGAAAACUUACAUUUUGCAACAAUGUUGAUUUCCCACUGGAAAUAACUUUGUAAGAUUGUAAGUAUAGGAUGACAGAUUUGAUGGUAGGCAUGUAUUGACACUGGCUUGCUAUCAUCAAUGUCACAAUUUCAUUUCCAUGACACCUGAAAGCUACAUUCCCUUUAAAAUUCAUAUUCAAUAUUGCUUAUCUCAGGUGACGGUCAAGUACACUAGGACUAGUUUUUUUCUAAUUAUUUUUAAAAAUAACGAAGCAUUGUCCGAAAUAAUAUAUAUUAAGAAUAAUUCUCUGCCUUAUGAUGGUAUAGCCACUGUGGUUAAGACAAAGAAUGAUUGUCUCUGUCUGGAGAUGGUACAGCCACUGUGGUUAAGGUAUAGAAUGAUUGUCUCUGCCUGGAGAUGGUACAGCCACUGUGGUUAAGGUAUAGAAUGAUUGUCUCUGCCUGGAGAUGGUACAGCCACUGUGGUUAAGGUAUAGAAUGAUUGUCUCUGUCUGGAGAUGGUACAGCCACUGUGGUUAAGGUAUAGAAUGAUUGUCUCUGUCUGGAGAUGGUAAAGCCACUGUGGUUAAGGUACAGAAUGAUUGUCUCUGUUUGGAGAUGGUACAGCCACUGUGGUUAAAGUAUAGAAUGAUUGUCUCUGCCUGGAGAUGGUAUAGCCACUGUGGUUAAGGUAUAGAAUGAUUGUCUCUGCCUGGAGAUGGUAGAGCCACUGUGGUUAAGGUAUAGAAUGAUUGUCUCUGCCUGGAGAUGGUACAGCCACUGUGGUUAAGGUAUAGAAUGAUUGUCUCUGUCUGGAGAUGGUACAGCCACUGUGGUUAAGGUAUAGAAUGAUUGUCUCUGCCUGGAGAUGGUACAGCCACUGUGGUUAAGAUAUAGAAUGAUUGUCUCUGCCUGGAGAUGGUAGAGCCACUGUGGUUAAGGUAUAGAAUGAUUGUCUCUGUCUGGAGAUGGUACAGCCACUGUGGUUAAGGUAUAGAAUGAUUGUCUCUGUUUGGAGAUGGUACAGCCACUGUGGUUAAGGUAUAGAAUGAUUGUCUCUGUCUGGAGAUGGUAAAGCCACUGUGGUUAAGGUAUAGAAUGAUUGUCUCUGUCUGGAGAUGGUACAGCCACUGUGGUUAAGAUAUAGAAUGAUUGUCUCUGCCUGGAGAUGGUACAGCCACUGUGGUUAAGAUAUAGAAUGAUUGUCUCUGCCUGGAGAUGGUACAGCCACUGUGGUUAAGAUAUAGAAUGAUUGUCUCUGCCUGGAGAUGGUAGAGCCACUGUGGUUAAGGUAUAGAAUGAUUGUCUCUGCCUGGAGAUGGUACAGCCACUGUGGUUAAGGUAUAGAAUGAUUGUCUCUGUCUGGAGAUGGUACAGCCACUGUGGUUAAGGUAUAGAAUGAUUGUCUCUGCCUGGAGAUGGUAGAGCCACUGUGGUUAAGAUAUAGAAUGAUUGUCUCUGCCUGGAGAUGGUACAGCCACUGUGGUUAAGAUAUAGAAUGAUUGUCUCUGCCUGGAGAUGGUAGAGCCACUUUGGUUAAGAUAUAGAAUGAUUGUCUCUGUCUGGAGAUGGUACAGCCACUGUGGUUAAGGUAUAGAAUGAUUGUCUCUGUCUGGAGAUGGUACAGCCACUGUGGUUAAGGUAUAGAAUGAUUGUCUCUGCCUGGAGAUGGUACAGCCACUGUGGUUAAGGUAUAGAAUGAUUGUCUCUGCCUGGAGAUGGUACAGCCACUGUGGUUAAGAUAUAGAAUGAUUGUCUCUGUCUGGAGAUGGUACAGCCACUGUGGUUAAGAUAUAGAAUGAUUGAUGUUAUGUUUGGUAUGUUUAACAAAUAUUUAUCUAUUAUUCAUAAGGCUGUAGUUUGAUCAGUGAUUGGAGAAAUUCCAUAACAGUGACAGUCAGUGGUCAUUUUUUUCAAUUGUUAAUCUGUCUUGACUGUUCUGUGAAAUCCAUAUCAUAUUAUUGAAUGGAAAAAAUUACAGUGUUCUUUAUCUGGCUCCACCUGGAGACACAAAAAAUAUAUUUUGGUAAUCUUUUAUUUGAAGUAUUUAAGAAAUUAAGGUUAAAAAGAAUACCUUCUGCAUUCAUUUAAGUUAGCACCAUCUCAAUUAAAUGUUUUGUUGACUUUUGAAAUAUUCUGCUAGAUAAUGACUGCCUUAUACAUUUCCUAAUAUUUCCCACAGUAUAUUUUGUGGGUAUACCAAUUUGAUCACUAACUUAAUGAUAGACAUGGCUAUAAGUAUAUCACGGUAGUCAUGAUCUGUAACAUUAUAUACCAGUCAUUGAUUUUCCUUUUUAUUCUAUUGUUUUUUGUUCUGUUUUUUAUAUACCCCCUUUUUCAGUGACUUAUCCCUAUUUUAUAUAAAAAAUUAAAACAUUUUUGUCGAUCUCUGCAUUUGCUCAAUUUACAAUGGAUCUUUUGAAAAUUUUACCAAUAUUUACGAUAUGGAGAUGUGUCCCCUGAAGUUGCUUUGAAUUUCCCUCCAUAUUAAGAGAGGUUUCCCCCUUUUAUGAAAGAAAUGAACACAAUUUUGUCCUGCUAUGCAUUUUUUCCCCAAAUGUUUGGUUGCCAUGGUAACUGGUUUGGUUGCCAUGGUAAGUGGUUACUGUAAACAGGUUUUAUAAUAAACAGCCAUUACUCCUUGGUCAUUCACCAGAUUUUAUUAUUUGACUAUGAUCCAGUUGUAUAACUUAUUGAAACCAAUUACAUCAGGUGUUUCAGAAACAGUUACUAUGGCAACAAAAUCCUGUCCUUUGAGGAAUAAAAAUUUAGGUAUUAUCUUAUUUUUAACAAAUUUGGUAUAUAGGAGUAUAAGGGGAUGCCAAAUAUUACUGUAUGUGUUUCAUUGCCAUGACAACCAUGCUAAGGCAAAUGUAAAAUCUGAUUGGUUGAAAUUUAGAUAUUUACCUGAUUUUGACCAAAUUUGGCUUAUACAGGAGAUUAGGGUAUGUGGAGUUUGACCAGGGGUCUUUGCACCUGGAGGAGGGGGGUUGUGUUAUACUUAUCCUCAGGAUGAGAUUUCUAGUUUAUUUUAGAGUAAUUCUGAAGUAAAAGUAACUAUUUUUUUAGUGUUCCUUUGCAAUGCAAAUGCUCAGACACAAUAUUACAACAGUCAAUAAUUCAACUGAUAUAAAAUAAAUAUGAUAGUGUCACAUAAGUUCUGCUCUGAUGACCCAUUAUAACAGAAUCCACCUGAAGUAGAACAUAUGUAAGACUUCCAGAUGUCAUAAAGUGUCAUACAGAAAACUCCUUGUAACAUUUGUCUGAAAAUCAUAAGCUCACAAUUAGCUGUUUGUAAGGUAACAUAUCCAUGUGUUGGUUGGUGACACAUUCAUGCUUUGUCUUCCAGUGAAACUUCUGUCAGGGUUGAAGUGGUAUCAAAUGAUAGGAAAUGUUACAGCAUCCUUUCUGUGGACAUCCAAUAUCAUAACUCAGAUUUACUGAUCUUCUCUUUACAAUGUAAACUGUUGAGUAUCUCACAAAUAUAAUGUAUAUAAAGUAGAACUUGUGUGAAAUACUAGUGAAUGGUAUAACCAUUGUGUAUCCAUAUUAGGUUUCAUUGAUGAACAAAUUCAAAAUGGCAACAAUCUUAAUAAUACAGUAAUUUAUCUCUAAAUUGAGCCCAGGCUGUAGAAGGUCUUCAUACCUCUAAGGUUUUACAGACUGGUGCCUGUAAUCUUACGUUUGUCAGAUAUUUUUAAAAAAAAUCCCAGAAUAGCAUUACUGAUCAUAUGGAUGAUAUUAGUGGCAUCUAAUGAUGGGCACCAAGAUUCGUCCAUGGAUCUCUUGUGUGAUGGCAAAAGUUUGUAAAAAUGUGUGAUGAUAUACAGUGUACAUAGUGUAUAUCUGUCAAGUUUUGUUUUCAUGUUACCUGGCUGCGAUAUUGUCAAUUCACACUUAUCCUCAAUAUUCUUUUCCUAUUGUACAUUCAGGACGAUUUAGAUUGUUAGGGGUUUCAUUGGAAAUUAGACCUGUUCGCAUUCACUGAAGUUGUUCUUCAGAAGAAUUCAAAUUCAAUUUAAACUCCAGGUUUAGAAAUUGUCACCUAUUCCUCUUUGUAUAAUUAAUUAUCAUUUGAUAAGACUUAUUUCUAAUAUCAUUUCAGAUACAUCUUGUAUCAUAAUCAGUUCAUACAGGGUAGUUAUAGACUUAACUCAUAACCUUAACUGUAUUAUCUUAUCUGCUUACCAGACUGUCAGUUAGAAAUAUCUUCAAUCACUUUUUCUUAAUCUUCAUAUGAACUUUUCAUUAAUAUCCAAAUGUUAAUGGAAAUAAAUUAGAUGAUGGGAAAUUGAAGUAAAAAAGUACAAAUGCAAAGAUUUGAAAUUGAAGAGAAAUAAUGUAGUUUCUUGGUGCUACUCAUUUCCAGAUGUGAUACAUUCUGGACAGGAUUAAGGUAUGCUGAGAUUAUCUGUAAAAGUUUAAAGAAUUUAUCAAUAAAGCUGAUUUGAAAUCUUACCAAUGAAAUUA